rnacentral:rRNA from 1 species
GUGAACAAUUAAGGGCGCGCGGUGGAUGCCUAGGCUCUCGGAGGCGAUGAAGGACGCGAUAAGCCGCGAUAGGCCACGGCGAGGUGCAAGUAACCCUUGACCCGUGGGUUUCCGAAUGGGGCAACCCGGCCGUCUAGAUGACGGUCAUGCAUUAUCAUGCAGGCGAACGCGGGGAACUGAAACAUCUCAUUACCCGCAGGAGAAGAAAACAAAAUGUGAUUCCCCCAGUAGUGGCGAGCGAACGGGGAAGAGCCCAAACCGCUGCCGUUUCGGCGACAGCGGGGUCAUGGGACCGCGAGAUUCGACGGAAGACGAAGUGCAAUUACCUGGAAAGGUAAGCCGUGGAGGGUGACAGCCCCGUGCACGACACCUCUUUCGAAGAUAGCGGUAUCCCGAGUAGGGCGGGACACGAGAAAUCCUGCCUGAAUUCGCCAGGACCUCCUGGCAAGGCUAAAUACUCCCGAGAGACCGAUAGUGAACCAGUACCGCGAGGGAAAGGUGAAAAGUACCCCGAGCAGGGGGGUGAAAUAGACCCUGAACCCGCGCGCCUACAAGCGGUCGGAGCCGAGUAAUUCGGUGACGGCGUGCCUUUUGCAUAAUGAGCCUACGAGUUAGUCGUCACCAGCGAGGUUAAGGGCUUCAGGCCCGUCAGCCGAAGUGAAAGCGAGCCUUAACAGGGCGUGAAGUUGGUGGCGCUAGACGCGAAACCUUGUGAUCUACCCACGAGCAGGUUGAAGUCGCGGUAACGCGUGAUGGAGGACCGAACCGGUAAACGUUGAAAAGUUUUCGGAUGACUCGCGGGUAGGGGUGAAAGGCCAAUCAAACUGGGAAAUAGCUCGUACUCUCCGAAAUGCAUUUCGGUGCAGCCUGUGAUGUUCUGUUCCAGAGGUAGAGCUACUGGUUGGACGCGAGGGCUUCACCGCCUAUCAAAUCCGGAUAAACUCCGAAUGCUGGAACACGAAAUCAUGGAGUGAGCCCGCGGGUGCUAAGGUCCGCGGACGAGAGGGAAAGAACCCGGACCACCGGCUAAGGUCCCGGAUGGACAGUUAAGUUGAUCAAACGAGGUGGGAUCGCGGAGACAGCUAGGAUGUUGGCUUGGAAGCAGCCAUUCAUUUAAAGAGUGCGUAACAGCUCACUAGUCGAGCGAUCUGGCGUGGAUAAUAAUCGGGCAUAAACGAUCUGCCGAAGCCGUGGAUGUCGCAAGACAUGGUAGGGGAGCAUUCCAUGCGGCGUCGAAGAUGAGGGAUGACCCUUGUUGGAGCGCAUGGAAAAGCAAAUGUAGGUAUGAGUAACGAUAAGGGGGGCGAGAAACCCCCCCGCCGAAAGACCAAGGUUUCCUGAUCAACGCUAAUCGGAUCAGGGUGAGUCGGGACCUAAGGCAAAGCCGAACGGCGCCGCCGAUGGAAGAAUGGGUUAAUAUUCCCAUACUGCCUCAUGGAGUGACGUGGAGACGGAGAAGUGACAGUCCUGCCGGCUGACGGAAUAGCCGGUUGAAGGGUGUAGAUAUUGAUUCCCGUAGGCAAAUCCGCGGGGAGAGUCGAACCUGAGAGUAUACGGAGCGCUUGCGCAACGUAAUAUGGACGUAACCAUGCUCCCGAGAAAAUCCGCUAAACUUAUCCAUGCGGCACCCGUACCGUAAACGGACACACGUGGUCGGGUUGAGAAUACUGAGGCGCUCGAGUGAUUCACGGUUAAGGAACUAGGCAAAUUGACCCUGUAACUUCGGGAUAAAGGGUCCUCGUCGUAAGGCGAGGCGCAGAGAAUAGGUCCAGGCAACUGUUUAACAAAAACACAUGGCUGUGCUAAAUGGAAACAUGACGUAUACAGCCUGACACCUGCCCGGUGCCGGAAGGUUAAGAGGAGAUGUCAUCCGCGAGGAGAAGCGUUGAAUUGAAGCCCCGGUAAACGGCGGCCGUAACUAUAACGGUCCUAAGGUAGCGAAAUUCCUUGUCGGGU